AACCUGCGGAGGGAUCAUUACCGAGUUUACAACUCCCAAACCCAAUGUGAACCAUACCAAACUGUUGCCUCGGCGGGGUCACGCCCCGGGUGCGUCGCAGCCCCGGAACCAGGCGCCCGCCGGAGGGACCAACCAAACUCUUUUCUGUAGUCCCCUCGCGGACGUUAUUUCUUACAGCUCUGAGCAAAAAUUCAAAAUGAAUCAAAACUUUCAACAACGGAUCUCUUGGUUCUGGCAUCGAUGAAGAACGCAGCGAAAUGCGAUAAGUAAUGUGAAUUGCAGAAUUCAGUGAAUCAUCGAAUCUUUGAACGCACAUUGCGCCCGCCAGUAUUCUGGCGGGCAUGCCUGUCCGAGCGUCAUUUCAACCCUCGAACCCCUCCGGGGGGUCGGCGUUGGGGACCUCGGGAGCCCCUAAGACGGGAUCCCGGCCCCGAAAUACAGUGGCGGUCUCGCCGCAGCCUCUCCUGCGCAGUAGUUUGCGCAACUCGCACCGGGAGCGCGGCGCGUCCACGUCCGUAAAACACCCAACUUUCUGAAAUGUUGACCUCGGAUCAGGUAGGAAUACCCGCUGAACUUAAGCAUAUCAAUAANCGGA
rnacentral:rRNA from 1 species